CUACGGGGGGCUGCAGUGGGGAAUAUUGCACAAUGGGCGCAAGCCUGAUGCAGCCAUGCCGCGUGUGUGAAGAAGGCCUUCGGGUUGUAAAGCACUUUCAGCGGGGAGGAAGGCGUUAAGGUUAAUAACCUUGGCGAUUGACGUUACCCGCAGAAGAAGCACCGGCUAACUCCGUGCCAGCAGCCGCGGUAAUACGGAGGGUGCAAGCGUUAAUCGGAAUUACUGGGCGUAAAGCGCACGCAGGCGGUCUGUCAAGUCGGAUGUGAAAUCCCCGGGCUCAACCUGGGAACUGCAUGCGAAACUGGCAGGCUAGAGUCUUGUAGAGGGGGGUAGAAUUCCAGGUGUAGCGGUGAAAUGCGUAGAGAUCUGGAGGAAUACCGGUGGCGAAGGCGGCCCCCUGGACAAAGACUGACGCUCAGGUGCGAAAGCGUGGGGAGCAAACAGGAUUAGAUACCCGAGUAGUC
rnacentral:rRNA from 1 species